AAUUUUGGACAAUGGGGGAAACCCUGAUCCAGCCAUCCCGCGUGUAUGAUGAAUGCCUUCGGGUUGUAAAUUACUUUUGGCAGAGAAGAAAAGUUAUCUCCUAAUACGAGAUACUGCCGACGUUAUCUGCAGAAUAAUCAUCGGCUAACUACGUGCCAGCAGCCGCGGUAAUACGUACGGUGCAAGCGUUAAUCGGAAUUACGGGGCGUAAGGCGUGUGUAGGAGGAACGGAAAGAAAGAUGUGAAAUCCCAGGGCUCAACCUUGGAACUGCAUUUUUAACUGCCGAGCUAGAGUAUGUCAGAGGGGGGUAGAAUUCCACGUGUAGCAGUGAAAUGCGUAGAUAUGUGGAGGAAUACCGAUGGCGAAGGCAGCCCCCUGGGAUAAUACUGACGCUCAGACACGAAAGCGUGGGGAGCAAACA
rnacentral:rRNA from 1 species